AGAGUUUGAUCCUGGCUCAGGACGAACGCUGGCGGCGUGCUUCAUACAUGCAAGUCGAACGAGAAGCUCACUUCGGUGAGUGGAAAGUGGCGGACGGGUGAGUAAUGUGUAGAGAAUCUGCCCUUGAGUGGGGGACAACAGCUGGAAACGGUUGCUAAUACCCCAUAUGAGAUAUUUUGCAAUAGAUAUCUUGAAAACUCCGGUGCUCAAGGAUGAGUCUGCAUCUGAUUAGCUAGUUGGGGGUGUAAUGGACCACCAAGGCGACGAUCAGUAGCUGGUUUGAGAGGAUGAUCAGCCACAAUGGGACUGAGACACGGCCCAUACUCCUACGGGAGGCAGCAGUAGGGAAUUUUGCGCAAUGGGCGAAAGCCUGACGCAGCAACGCCGCGUGAUUGAUAAAGCCCUUCGGGGUGUAAAGAUCUGUCAGUGGGGACGAACAAUGACGGUACCCACAGAGGAAGCACCGGCUAACUCCGUGCCAGCAGCCGCGGUAAUACGGAGGGUGCGAGCGUUGUCCGGAAUCAUUGGGCGUAAAGAGUUCGUAGGUGGCCUGUUAAGUCUGGUGUUAAAUGCAGAUGCUCAACAUCUGUUCGGCACUGGAUACUGGCAAGCUUGAAUGCGGUAGAGGUAAAGGGAAUUCCUGGUGUAGCGGUGAAAUGCGUAGAUAUCAGGAGGAACAUCGGUGGCGUAAGCGCUUUACUGGGCCGUAAUUGACACUGAGGAACGAAAGCCAGGGUAGCAAAUGGGAUUAGAUACCCCAGUAGUCCUGGCCGUAAACGAUGGAUACUAGGU
rnacentral:rRNA from 1 species